rnacentral:snRNA from 1 species
AUACCUUUCUCGGCCUUUUGGCUAAGAUCAAGUGUAGUAUCUGUUCUUAUGAGUUUAAUAUAUGAUACGUGAGCCAUUGGCUCACAUGAUAUUAAAUUAAUUUUUCUUUGGGGAGGUUCU